rnacentral:rRNA from 1 species
GGUGAAGCCCAGCUUGCUGGGUGGAUCAGUGGCGAACGGGUGAGUAACACGUGAGCAACCUGCCCCUGACUCUGGGAUAAGCGCUGGAAACGGCGUCUAAUACUGGAUACGAACCACAGUCGCAUGGCUCGUGGUUGGAAAGAUUUUUUGGUUGGGGAUGGGCUCGCGGCCUAUCAGCUUGUUGGUGAGGUAAUGGCUCACCAAGGCGUCGACGGGUAGCCGGCCUGAGAGGGUGACCGGCCACACUGGGACUGAGACACGGCCCAGACUCCUACGGGAGGCAGCAGUGGGGAAUAUUGCACAAUGGGCGCAAGCCUGAUGCAGCAACGCCGCGUGAGGGAUGACGGCCUUCGGGUUGUAAACCUCUUUUAGCAAGGAAGAAGCGAAAGUGACGGUACUUGCAGAAAAAGCGCCGGCUAACUACGUGCCAGCAGCCGCGGUAAUACGUAGGGCGCAAGCGUUAUCCGGAAUUAUUGGGCGUAAAGAGCUCGUAGGCGGUUUGUCGCGUCUGCUGUGAAAUCCCGAGGCUCAACCUCGGGUCUGCAGUGGGUACGGGCAGACUAGAGUGCGGUAGGGGAGAUUGGAAUUCCUGGUGUAGCGGUGGAAUGCGCAGAUAUCAGGAGGAACACCGAUGGCGAAGGCAGAUCUCUGGGCCGUAACUGACGCUGAGGAGCGAAAGGGUGGGGAGCAAACAGGCUUAGAUACCCUGGUAGUCCACCCCGUAAACGUUGGGAACUAGUUGUGGGGUCCUUUCCACGGAUUCCGUGACGCAGCUAACGCAUUAA